AUGCAGUCGACGGUAACAGGCAGAGCUUGCUCUGCGCUGACGAGUGGCGGACGGGUGAGUAACGCGUAGGAAUCUGCCCAGUAGUGGGGGACAACCCGGAGAAAUCCGGGCUAAUACCGCAUACGCCCUACGGGGGAAAGGAGGGGAUCUCUUCGGAGACCUUUCGCUAUUGGAUGAGCUUGCGUUGGAUUAGCUUGUUGGUGGGGUAAUGGCCUACCAAGGCGACGAUCCAUAGCUGGUCUGAGAGGACGACCAGCCACACUGGGACUGAGACACGGCCCAGACUCCUACGGGAGGCAGCAGUGGGGAAUAUUGCACAAUGGGGGAAACCCUGAUGCAGCAAUGCCGCGUGUGUGAAGAAGGCCUGCGGGUUGUAAAGCACUUUCAAUUGGGAAGAAAAGCGAAGGGCUAAUAUCCCUUUGUCUUGACGUUACCUUUAGAAGAAGCACCGGCUAACUCCGUGCCAGCAGCCGCGGUAAUACG
rnacentral:rRNA from 1 species